AGUGAAGAGGUGAAGUAGAAAAUGGAAUCGGAAUAGGAGGCAUAUCUUCAACUAGUUUGAUGCAUGUUGGAAGAGAGACGACAGUAUCUGGUGUUGUUAGUGAACAUGGACCAUGAAGUGGAGUCUGAUCACUCAUUACCACAUCAACAGGUCCUGAAAGGGAGUACGUACCCCACUACGCUGAGAUCCA